rfam:Candida tropicalis MYA-3404 genomic scaffold supercont3.4, whole genome shotgun sequence.
GACAGUGUGCCCGAGCGGUUAAGGGGUCUGACUCGAAUUCUUUAACCAAGUUCGUGUUAUCAGUUGGGCUUUGCCCGCGCAGGUUCGAAUCCUGCUGCUGUCG